ensembl:lncRNA
UGCUGAGCAGAAGAAACGUAAAAAAAAAAAAAAGACAGAUCCCAAACAUGUAGUGUAAGUAAAUGCAUUGUGCAUUAUUUCCAUGAACAUUAAGCCCAUUUUCCUCUUAAAAAUCUCAUUCAAUCAUCCUCUCCAGACACAAUAUUUUAAAAUUAAAAUAAGUGAAACAUACAUUUAUAUUGUACUUUAAAGCACUAAAAUACAUUGGUUUACCAAAUAGAUGUACAUAAUGUACAUAAAGAUUUAUACACAUACAUAUGAAAGGAGUUUAAUGAAAACUGCAAAAAUAUAUAUUAGAAUUAGACUUAGAAUAUUUAAUUUUCAUGAAAAUCUUUUUUGCAUUGCUUUUGGGGUCAAAUAUGACCUAUAUGGAUAUUUCAUGACAGUUUCCAUGAUGUUCACUGAAACAUCCUUAGCUUUACCUCUUUCUACAGUCCAGAGCCUAAGCUAAAGGUCAUGUUAUUGACAGUGAAGUGUUAUGCUUACACAGGCCUUCCACCUGAAAUCCUGGCGCUAUGGAAACAGGCCGCGGUCCUGAGGCCCAUCCCACCGUCCUGGCAGCGCAGGGAGGUUCCCGUAGCUGAGGAGAUACCAGAGAGAGAGCAGGAGAGACCAGAACCGGGACAGAGAGAGGAGGAGGAGAGAGAGCUUAGCUCUAAAGAGAUUCCCAGAGAAAUGUUGGAGUCUGGCCUCUUCCAGCAAGAAACACCAGCCUCUCUGGUGGUUUUGGAGACGACAGACAAAGAUUUCUCUCCACUGGAGACUCCUGAAAUGAGACGGUGAGAGGAGACAUGCUAAAAGAGAGACAGAAAUAGCUGUUGCUGUCAGAAGCGACUGGUUUGACACUUGCGAGUUUCACAUUCAGUUGCUGCAUAAUUAAGUGCCUCUGAAUAAUGACUUCGUAUGUGUGUGCUGUCAUGGCUUCAGAUCCCCUGUUCCAGAAAUUCAGUUCGGUCUUGAGGGCAUCCCAGAAGAGAGGGUCCCAGAGAUGGAAGAUAUUACAAAGGAUAUCGAGGAACAAUUAAGGUACUGCUGAAAACCUCUUAUUUUUGAUGCCAGUUUCAAUAUAAAAGUUUUUUUUACGUUGUUAAUAUAAGUAUUUUUUAUGUUUUGUUAUUUAUUGAAAGGCUAUUUAUAUUUAUAUUACUAUAGCCAUGUCCAGUCACAUUU